GACGAGCCACACGAACGUUAUUCGGAAUUACUGGGCGUAAAGGGCGCGUAGGCGGCCUGCUAAGUCGAACGUGAAAUCCCCGAGCUCAACUCGGGAACUGCGUCCGAUACUGGAUGGCUUGAAUCCGGGAGAGGGAUGCAGAAUUCCAGGUGUAGCGGUGAAAUGCGUAGAUAUCUGGAGGAAUACCGGUGGCGAAGGCGGCAUCCUGGACCGGCAUUGACGCUGAGGAGCGAAAGCCAGGGGAGCAAACGGG
rnacentral:rRNA from 1 species